UGUCCCCUGGCAAUGGGCGAGGAGACACUGUUGUUGGUGUUGCUCUUAGAUCAGUCAGGGGCAGCGCAGAUGGCAGUCUUUUGUUCAUCCUAGCUUGAUGCCUGGCUUGGUGGCCAAAGCUGUCUUAUGCAUAGGACACAUGA